GACAGAGGGUGCGAACGUUGUUCGGAAUUACUGGGCGUAAAGGGCGCGUAGGCGGUGUGUCAAGUCAGGCGUGAAAGCCCCGGGCUCAACCUGGGAACCGCGCUUGAGACUGGCACGCUCGAGUUCGGGAGAGGAUGGUGGAAUUCCCAGUGUAGAGGUGAAAUUCGUAGAUAUUGGGAAGAACACCGAUGGCGAAGGCAGCCAUCUGGGUAGUUACUGACGCUGAGGCGCGAAAGCGUGGGGAGCAAACAGG
rnacentral:rRNA from 1 species